rnacentral:rRNA from 1 species
CGGAGGGGCUAGCGUUGUUCGGAAUUACUGGGCGUUAAAGCGCACGUAGGCGGAUUGGCGAAGUUGGGGGUGAAAUCCCAGGGCUCAACCCUGGAACUGCCUCCAAAACUUCCAGUCUUGAGGUCGAGAGAGGUGAGUGGAAUUCCGAGUGUAGAGGUGAAAUUCGUAGAUAUUCGGAGGAACACCCAGUGGCGAAGGCGGCUCACUGGCUCGAUACUGACGCCGAGGUGCGAAAGCGUGGGGAGCAAACAGGAUU